AUGUUCUUCGAUGGAUCUAAGAUGCUGAACGGUUCCGGUGCUGCGGUAGUAUUAGUCUCCCCCCGAGGAGAUAAGCUCAGAUACGUUCUCCAGAUUCACUUCGAUUCCUCCAAUAAUGAAGCAGAAUAUGAAGCACUUUUGUAUGGGUUGCGCAUGGCCAUUUCACUCGGCGUCCGUCGCCUCAUGGUCUAUGGCGACUCAGAUUUGGUGGUUAAUCAAGUGAUGAAGGAGUGGGACGUCAGAAGUCCGGCAAUGACUGGUUAUUGCAAUGCAGUGAGAAAUAAGAAUGGCCGCAGUAUCAUUGAUCCAGCAAUUUUUGUUGGGUGUGCCUUGUAUGUGCUGAAACAAUGCUGCAUCGGCUCUCCUAUUGUUGACUACGACUGGCCUGCCCACACCAGUAACUAUUGGGUAUGCAACAGGAUCAUUGCGCUGACCGACAUUUCCUAUACGAUCCACAGUUCUAUCAACAUUGACAAAGCAUGGCAAGUUGGCGAUGUUCUGCAGCAUGAGGUGCGUCUGUUGGACGUUGACAAUCGGCAUAAUACCGGUGAGUCAACAAUAAUGCCUUCUUCUCACUUGGCAAGCUCUACUGAGCAUAUGCAGUACUGGAUUUCCACAUCAACGUGUGGAUUUGAGCUGAGCUCUUCUGGAGUUAUGCCUGACGACAUGUUUCAGCACUCACACCUGCUCGGCGUGCUCAAGCUCUCGAGGUGUACCUUUAGCUUCUCAUCGCCUCCAUUCCUCUGUUGCCAUAGCCUGAGAUUCCUGUCACUUCUGCACUGCCAAGACCUCCGAACAAGAACAAGCAAUGCACAUCAUUACGACAGAAAUUCAGACAAGGAGUUGGACAGCAGCACCACGAUGUUAUGGGAAUGCUUCCAAAGCUUGUGGGUGCUUGACCUGCACUACACAGAUUGGGAUCAGAUAUUGUCAGCACGGAUGAUGGAUCUCAUGACCCAGCUCAGAGAGCUAAUCGUGAUGGGAGCCAAUAACUGGGACAUGAGCCAUUUACGGGAACGGCUGCGCAACAUUCGCAAGCUCCGUGUAAGAAAGUCCACGUGCUGCUUUAACAACGAUGUGUUCUCAGAGAUGGAGAUGUUGGAGCUUCUUGAUUUAUCGGGAAAUACCAUCAGACGAGGCAUGACAAGCUUAUCUGGAGCUGCAAGAAACCGCAGCCUUCAGACUGUCAUUAUCUAUGGAAAUUAUGGGUUAGAACUGAUCUCUUUUAGGGGCUGCAAAGAAUUGAAGAACAUGUUGCUGAAAGGAUAUUUCUCGAGCCUUAAGGAGUUGGACAUCUCGGGCACAAGUGUGAAAACCCUCGACCUUGGAGGAGUGGAUAUUACCUCACUCCCCGCGAGGAUCAUCUUGCUAGGCUGCAAGAAGCUCCGUGCAAUAUUGUGGCCACAACACAAACAGAGCUAA
rnacentral:rRNA from 1 species